CCCUGCAGUUCUCGCUUGGUUAACCACUGAAGCUAAGCAGUUUUGUAAAUGGCCAGUACCUGGAUGGGAGACCUCCUGGGGAAAACUAAAGUUGCUGCUGGAU
rnacentral:rRNA from 1 species